UUAACACCCCGUCCCAUAUAACUGUCCAAACUCCUCCCCCCCAAACCCCUCAGACUCCCCAUAUUUCCCUUCAUCUCCUCCAAAGCUUAACCCUAGCCGCCCCAAAUUCCCACACCCCACCGGCCGGUGACGACGCUCCAAACCCGCCCAAAUUAUCACCAUACAAUCACAAUUCCCCCCUUUUUCCAAAUCCAUCACUAGUUUUCCCUGAGUCCCUACCAAAUCCUUUUGAUUUCAGAUCUAAAAUCUAGAAAACCUAAUUUGUUUUUUCCCUCCUUUUCUAAUUUCUUGGCUCAUGGGCAUUCGUUGUGACCUAAAACCUACGUCAAUGGAUUGUUCUAGACAAGAACAAUCAAUUGACGUUGGUUGUUGUUCAUUUCGAAGCCGCCGAGUUUUGAUCAGUCCACCUUUAUCGGCUAAAUUCAUAAGGCCUUGAGGGUCGCCGGAGUUUUGUUCUGACCAAGUUGUUUUGAAUCAACUAGGUGAUUUUCUACCCCUUUUCCUUAUUUUUCUAGAAUCAGUAUAUUUUUACAGUAUGCAUGGAGUAAUGGAAAAUAUUUUUUGCUUUUCUUUUCUUUUAGAUAAUCACUCGAUUUUAGGUUCUAUUUGGAGUUUGGUCAAUUAACUAGUUCAAUUAUUUGCUGAUUGUGAUUAACUUGCAUUGGAUAAUUUGAUUAAGUUAUUUGUUAACAAUUACUGGUUCUGUGAGAUAAAAGAGGGCAGUGAAGUAGGAUAAUUACCCUGUUUGGCAUCGGUUGGAAGUUUAGGGGUGAAAGAGGCAAUGAACAGAACUUAAAAGGGAGAAUUAAUUAGGAAGUAAAAAUAGAGAUUCUUGGGUGCUUGCUUAGGAAGGUUCUAGAAAAGUCGGCUGUCCAAAAUUGUUGUAAAAAAUAUGUGAAAAUAUCUGGAAUGGACAACUGUCCCAACAACUGUCUAUUUUCUGUUUUAAAAGAUGUUUUUUCCUAAGUUUUAGGGACGAACAUUUUUUAGAAUGAUUCCCUGAUUUUUAAGGGCACAUAACAGAUUUCAUCCUAUAUAUACAGGACCUCUCUUCUCACUUGGGGGGGGGGGGUUGAAAAUUGGGGUAGAGAGAGACGUACUAAACAUCAUUUUUCUGCCUAUAGACUGAUUUUGAAAACACUUACUAAGCUGGGAUAUGAAGAAAGUUUUCCAGAUUUUAAACUUCAAGCAAAAGUAGUUCUUCAGCUUUUUGAGUCCAUUUAGAAUUCCUGGGGUAUACCUGAAUCUGUUUUGGUGUUGAUUUGCUGGGGCUGCUGUUUGCUUCAUAGCUGGUUCCUUUCUUUGGAGUUUGCUAGCCUUUAUUUGGCUCUAAUUCUUUCUCUUUAUUCAUCUUUUCCAGGUAUUUUUGCCUAUUCCUUAUGAAUCUGAAGUGAAGUUUCAUGAUGAUAUGAAUUUAUUUUCGAAAGAUGAAACUGAAGCAGUUGUAAUUUUUAUUGUUAGUUAGUUCAUUGUUCUAUAAUAUUUGAGAUCCUGUUAAUCCUUAGUAGUACCUUAUGAAUGUCCAUGAAUCACUACUUUCCUUCACAAGCUUAUCUAUACUAUAUUAAAAGCACGAAGGCCCUUAGCGAAAUGUCAUUCGCCUUUUUUACCUUCUAAAAAUAGAUUUUA
rnacentral:lncRNA from 1 species